UACAGAAGCGUGGAUUUUCACA
rnacentral:miRNA from 1 species